rnacentral:piRNA from 1 species
UGCUAGGAUGAAUCAGCCAUGGCGCC